rnacentral:rRNA from 1 species
UACGGAAGUGGCAAGCGUUAUCCGGAAUUAUUGGGCGUAAAGCGUCCGCAGGCGGUCUUGUAAGUCUGUCGUUAAAGCGUGGAGCUUAACUCCAUUUAAGCGAUGGAAACUGCAAGACUAGAGUGUGGUAGGGGCAGAGGGAAUUCCCGGUGUAGCGGUGAAAUGCGUAGAUAUCGGGAAGAACACCAGUGGCGAAGGCGCUCUGCUGGGCCAUAACUGACGCUCAUGGACGAAAGCCAGGGGAGCGAAAGGGAUUAGAUACCCCUGUAGUCCUGGCCGUAAACGAUGAACACUAGGUGUCGGGGGAAUCGACCCCCUCGGUGUCGUAGCCAACGCGUUAAGUGUUCCGCCUGGGGAGUACGCACGCAAGUGUGAAACUCAAAGGAAUUGACGGGGGCCCGCACAAGCGGUGGAGUAUGUGGUUUAAUUCGAUGCAACGCGAAGAACCUUACCAGGGUUUGACAUCCUGCGAAUCCCUUGGAAACGAGGGAGUGCCUUCGGGAACGCAGUGACAGGUGGUGCAUGGCUGUCGUCAGCUCGUGUCGUGAGAUGUUGGGUUAAGUCCCGCAACGAGCGCAACCCACGUCGUUAGUUGCCAGCAUUCAGUUGGGCACUCUAGCGAGACCGCCGGUGAUAAACCGGAGGAAGGUGUGGAUGACGUCAAGUCAUCAUGCCCCUUACAUCCUGGGCUACACACGUACUACAAUGCUACGGACAAAGGGCAGCAAACUCGCGAGAGCUAGCAAAUCCCAUAAACCGUGGCUCAGUUCAGAUCGUAGGCUGCAACUCGCCUACGUGAAGGAGGAAUCGCUAGUAAUCGCAGGUCAGCAUACUGCGGUGAAUACGUUCCCGGGCCU